CCGAAUUCGUCGACAACCUGGUUGAUCCUGCCAGUACUAUAUGCUUGUCUCAAAGCCUAAGCCAUGCAAAUCUAAGAUCAAUCAUAUGCGGUUUCGGCCGUGUAUAAUGAUAGUCUGUGGAAGGCUCAUUAUAACAGUUAUACUCCUAGCCACUGGAAAGUUUACAAGGAUACCACCGUUAACUGCAGCGAUAAUACUUGUUCCCUUCGGGGUGGUAAUAGUAUUUGUGCUGAAGCCUAGCUAUUGUAACCUAGUUUUUCGGGUGUGGCAACAUAUUCGGGGAAUUAGGAAUCGACCGCUAGCAGGUGCCUUCGGGCGCGGGAAAGUGAAUUAACAAGGUUUUCAUAAGGCCUUUCAGGUUUGCUUUUUCUAGUGGCCAGGCAGAGGAGUUUCUUACCUAUCAGCUCGUUGUUUGUUUAAAGGACAAACCAGGCUUUGACGGGUACGGGGAAUCAGUGUUCGAUUCCGGAGAGGGAGCCUGAGAAAUCGCUACCACAUCUAAGGACGGCAGCAGGCGCGCAAAUUACCCAAUCUCAAUACGAGGAGGUAGUGACAAGCUAUAGUGACUCCACACUAUUUAGUGGGGAGGUAUUGUCUUUUGACGAUUUUCCAUGAUUUGGGUGUAGAUAACCCUUAGAGUAGCCAUUGGAGGAAAAGUCUGGUGCCAGCACCGCGGUAAUUCCAGCUCCAAGAGCGUAUAUUAAUACUGCUGUAGUUAAAACGCCCGUAGUAUACCUAAGAGUGUGCGUGUAGUAAUUAGUUUUGUCAGAGGACGGUCGGCGAGUGUUUAUCACACUUGCUUGCCUUACUUUUGGCAAACUUCAGUCGGGCUGGAUCUUUGGUCCUCGUCUGACAGUUGCUGCGCGUGUACUUGUCCACGGUUCAUCCGUGAGGCCCAUUUGGGUUGCAACUGUAAAUAAAUCGUUGUGCUUAAAGCGGGCUAUGAUACUCUGCCAGAGCGAUUUAGCAUGGGACUGCAGAGUAGCUGUAUUUGAGUGAAGGUUGUACUUCGGUAUGGCUGGAUCUUGGUACAGCGCUUGUAAUGGAGCUCAGGGUGAGGCCCCGGGUACCAUGAGGCUAGAGGUGAAAUUCUGAGACCCUCAUGUGACCAACUAAGGCGAAAGCUGUCGUGGGCCACCACAAGCUCGUCUAUCAGGGACGAAAGUUGGGGGAUCGAAGACGAUUAGAUACCGUCGUAGUCCCAACUAUAAACGAUACCAACCGAGUAUUUGGGAAGACACUAUCCCAGCGAUCUUCUCAGAACUCAAGGGAAACCUUAAGUCUUUGGGUUCUGGGGGGAGUAUAGUCGCAAGACCGAAACUUAAAGGAAUUGACGGAAAGGCACCACCAGGAGUGGAGUCUGCGGCUUAAUUCGACUCAACACGGGGAAACUCACCAGGUCAGGACACAAGUUUGAUUGACAGGUUAAUAGCCCUUUCUUGAUUGUGUGGUGGGUAGUGCAUGGCCGUUUCCAGUUCGUGGAGUGAUCUGUCUUGUUAAUUCAGAUAACGAACGAGACCUAAGCCUUUAACUAGCCGUAGGCCUUUUCCUUCGGGGAAGGGUUAGUUUGUCGGAACUGGCUUCGGCCUUUUCCAAAACCUACGAGACUUUUGUCAGCUUCUUAAAGGGACUUCAUUCGUAAACUAGGAUGAGGAAGAUUUAGGCCAUAACAGGUCUGUGAUGCUCUUAGAUGUCCUGGGCUGCACGCGUACUACAAUAACGGUAYCAGCGAGCGCUAUGGUUUUUAACCCCUUAUCCUAAUAGGAUUGGGAAAACUUUUCAAACACCGUUAUGACAGGGAUCGAGGAUUGGAACAUCCUCGUGAACGAGGAAUUCCUAGUAAGCGUGGUUCAUCAUACCACAUUGAUUACGUCCCUGCCUUUUGUACACACCGCCCGUCGCUCCUACCGAUGGGACGAAGAGAUGAACCUGGCGGACCAAACCGCAAGGUAAGGGAAACCAGUUAAAUCUCUUCGUCUGUAGGAAGGAAAAGUCGUAACAAGGUCUUCGUAGGUGAACCUGCAGAAGGAUCAAGCUUGGAUCCCGGG
rnacentral:rRNA from 1 species